CGGUUUGACUCCUACGGGAGGCAGCAGUAGGGAAUCUUCCACAAUGGGCGCAAGCCUGAUGGAGCAACACCGCGUGAGUGAAGAAGGGUUUCGGCUCGUAAAGCUCUGUUGUUAAAGAAGAACACGUAUGAGAGUAACUGUUCAUACGUUGACGGUAUUUAACCAGAAAGUCACGGCUAACUACGUGCCAGCAGCCGCGGUAAUACGUAGGUGGCAAGCGUUAUCCGGAUUUAUUGGGCGUAAAGAGAGUGCAGGCGGUUUUCUAAGUCUGAUGUGAAAGCCUUCGGCUUAACCGGAGAAGUGCAUCGGAAACUGGAUAACUUGAGUGCAGAAGAGGGUAGUGGAACUCCAUGUGUAGCGGUGGAAUGCGUAGAUAUAUGGAAGAACACCAGUGGCGAAGGCGGCUACCUGGUCUGCAACUGACGCUGAGACUCGAAAGCAUGGGUAGCGAACAGGAUUAGAUACCCUGGUAG
rnacentral:rRNA from 1 species